rnacentral:rRNA from 3 species
GCCUAGCCCUAAACCUUGGUAACAUAUCACAUACCCUACCCGCCUGGGAACUACGAGCACCAGCUUAAAACCCAAAGGACUUGGCGGUGCUUUAGACCCCCCUAGAGGAGCCUGUUCUAGAACCGAUAACCCCCGUUCAACCUCACCCUUCCUUGUUUAUCCCGCCUAUAUACCGCCGUCGUCAGCUUACCCUGUGAAGGCCUAAAAGUAAGCACAACUGGUACAACCCAAAACGUCAGGUCGAGGUGUAGCGCAUGGAGGGGGAAGAAAUGGGCUACAUUCCCUACAUUAGGGAACACGAACGGCGCACUGAAACACGCGCCUGAAGGAGGAUUUAGUAGUAAGCGGAAAAUAGCGUGUUCCGCUGAAAUCGGCCCUGAAGCGCGC